rnacentral:rRNA from 1 species
GACGAACGCUGGCGGCGUGCUUAACACAUGCAAGUCGAACGGAAAGGCCCUGCUUUUGUGGGGUGCUCGAGUGGCGAACGGGUGAGUAACACGUGAGUAACCUGCCCUUGACUUUGGGAUAACUUCAGGAAACUGGGGCUAAUACCGGAUAGGAGCUCCUGUUGCAUGGUGGGGGGUGGAAAGUUUCUGCGGUUGGGGAUGGACUAGCGGCUUAACAGCUUGUUGGUGGGGUAGUGGCUUACCAAGGCAUGGACGGGUAGCCGGCCUGAGAGGGGGACCGGCCACAUUGGGACUGAGGGACGGCCCAGACUCCUACGGGAGGCAGCAGUGGGGAAUAUUGCACAAUGGGCGGAAGCCUGAUGCAGCAACGCCGCGUGCGGGAUGACGGCCUUCGGGUUGUAAACCGCUUUCGCCUGUGACGAAGCGUGAGUGACGGUAAUGGGUAAAGAAGCACCGGCUAACUACGUG